GCGAAAAGCUGAGAACGUUGUCGUUUCAAUGCUUAAACCGAACCACAUCGAAGUUUAUUAAGUCCGGUACGGGAAACUCCUAGGACUAAAACUCUCUUUCUCUCUCCCUCUCUCUCUACCGGCGCCGGAGAAAUUACCGAUCAACACAAUCUCGACUACAGCGACGAGCUCAAAAUUAUCGACUUCUAGAUGGAGAGACGUGUCCCAAACGCAUUCCCUGGUGCUCCACCACCAGUUCCAUACUAUCAAAACAACUACAACAACCCUCAUCAUCAUCAGACUCAUCCGCCGCCGCAGCACCACCAUGUCGCCGCCAUUGGAUUCCACCAAUACCCCCAAAACGACAACAGGGAUCAGCGUUUCAAUCAGCCGCAUUACUCCGGCCAACAACAGAACAUGAUCGUUGAUCAGAGUAAUAACGCUCCUCCGCCGUUUCCACCGAGUCCUUGCGGUGGUGGCAGCUUAAGGAAGAGACGGUCUCAAUCAGCUACAGAUACUGCUGAUGGUAGUAUUGCCAAGUUAUAUGUUGCGCCCAUCUCAAAGACAUCAACUGAAUAUGAUAUCCGUCAGGUCUUUGAAACAUAUGGUAAUGUCACUGAGAUCAUUCUACCCAAAGAUAAGAUGACCGGUGACAGAGCAGCUUACUGUUUUGUUAAGUACAAAACGGUAGAAGAGGGUAAUGCCGCUAUUGCAGCUUUAGCUGAACAGUUUACCUUUCCUGGGGAAAUGCUUCCACUCAAGGUCCGAUUUGCUGACGCUGAACGGGAACGGAUUGGUAAGAGUUUUGCCCCGGUGCAACCUCCUGACAACCCUAAACUAUAUAUUAGAUGCCUCAACAAACAAACUACAAAAAUGGAAGUCCAUGAGGUCUUCUCUAGGUUCGGAAUCAUUGAAGAUAUUUAUAUGGCACUUGACGACAUGAAGAUUAGUCGUGGGUAUGCAUUUGUUCAGUUUUCUUGUAGGGAGAUGGCACUAGCAGCAAUCAAAGGUUUAAAUGGAGUCUUUACCAUGCGGGGUUCUGAUCAGCCUUUGAUUGUUAGAUUUGCAGAUCCUAAAAAACCAAGGUCUACCUUUAACACUCCACCUGCAAUGCAACACUUCGACCCAAAUUGGCAUUCACAACCAUAUCCCCAAUGGGAAAACAAGGAACCUGCAGCCCCUAGAGUCGUUCAGCAUCAUGAUUUCUCUUCACAACCAAAUCACUUCCCGCACCAAAAUACUCAAGCAGUAUCCGAGGUUCAUCAACCACUGCAUCAAGAUAUUCCACCUCAAAAUUUGGAGAAGCAUCAGAAUUCUGAGACUGCCAGCGUAGAGACUAGAAGGGAUGGUCAGAAGAUUUCUAGUCAUUCAAAUUCAUUCCCUGAAGAGCAAAAUACAGUGAGCUCUGAGUGUGACUGGAGUGAACACACUUGUCCCGAUGGGAAUAAAUAUUACUUCCAUUGCGUCACUUGCGAAAGCACGUGGGAGAAACCUGAAGAAUACUCCAUGUUUGAGAGAUGGUUCGAAGAGCAAACAAGGUUACAAGAUCUAAAACUUGUAUCUCCCCCGUUAAACAAUGAGAGCCAAAAAGCAAUCGAAAACAGCGAGCAAGUUAAGUCAGAUCUAUUGCAACAGAAUGCUAAACUCCAACAACCAUCCUUAUCCACAGCGGUUAGAGAUAAUUUCUACAAUGUGUCGUAUUGACAGACAUCGAGUUCCACUUUUUAGAUAGUCUCUCACAAGAAGAGUAAAUUGCAAUAUGUUCAGUGAUGUGUUUUCAGGAUCAGGAGAACAAUGUAGUAUAUCGAGUAACAACACUAGCUGUUGAAACAACAUGUUCAUAAAAGGUUUCUUCAGUAAAAAACCGACGGCGGAAGCUUUGUGUGAUGAGCAAUGGAGAGAUAAAGCUGUAAAACGGAGGAAGAAGGAGAUAUUAAUUAUGUGUUGGUUAGAAGAAACCUAUGCUUUUAGACUGCAGACAGUAAAUAAAUAGUACUGGUUUCUAAACUCAAUUUUUGUUUAGAAACUUAGAAUUGGAAAGAAAAAUAAUCGAAAAUUUGUUUUGAUAAACGGUAAAUAAACCUAUUUUCACCUGA